rnacentral:pre_miRNA from 1 species
GGAAACUUGGAAACUACCGUUGGAUCGAGAAACGGAUAUCCGGGAUUUGUCCAUGUCACCGUGAGUUAAAAUUUAACUCCCAGUAAAAUUUUAACUCAUGAGUGAAUUUGCGAGUUAAAUUUUAACUCAUGGUGACGUAGACGAAUCUCGGACGUCCAUUUCUCGAUCCAACGGUAGUUUUCAAGUUUCC